CUCAAGCCUGUUGUUCAUUGGUGAUAAUAAAAAUAAUAAUUAUAAGAAGAAGAAGAAGAAGAAGAAGUAGCAGAAAAUGAGGUGGCACACGUUUUUUUCCAAAAAUAAUUUCUAUCGCUGCACGCCACACACAAAGGCAGGAGACUGUCACACACACACAAACACAUGCUGGGUCAAUCAGACCCUGGUCCAACACAAGGGUUAAAGUUGCUUUGGAAGAAGUAGGGUAAUAUUCUGUAAUGAACCUUGACACAGGUUUCCACUCACAAAUAAACCCGAACAUACGAUAAUAUGAUUCUGUAUCCUGAUCACUAUUUGCAGCUGAGAAUUGUUAAUAACUGUUAAUUAGGUCAUAGGUGUUUUAUAGCAACCUAAAUUUAGUCUGUUUUCCCUCAGAUUGCUAUAUCUAUCUUUGCACAGCAAGAUGUUAUUCUGACAAUCUUGACAAACUGUUCACUCAUGACCAAUUGAUCACUAAUAGGACGACACUAUAGGUAUUGUAAUACAAAUUUAUUAUAGAUAAAAAGGCCACUGAUGGACGAACUCUAAUAUUUUUUUCUCUUUUGCUUUUCAGUCAAAAUGCCCGGGUCAACAAUGAAAACCUGCAUAUCUUGCAUGCACCAUAUACGUGUUGCAUGCAAGAUAUGCAAACUUUGUGGAGCCCAACAGCAAAUGAAAAAGGCUGUUGAAAAAGCUAAAGGUAAAGCCGACAGGGAAUGGGGAGCCAAGCUUAAAAAAGGUGGAAAAUUGAACAAAUUGAUGAAUGCUUCCCGGGUUCUGGUAAGCUCUUCACUACCUGUAGCCUGCCGACUCUUCACACUAGUUACAUAUCCCGGUCGAAUGGAUGUAUAAUAGUAAUAAUUAUCAUAAUUAUUAUAAUUAAUUUUAUUUGUAUAGAACAUUUGUAACAUUCAUGCUCAAAUCGGACAAUCGUAUAAUACAACAUAUAAAAUUGAUAGUCAUUGUUUUUCUCCCCCCCAAGGUCAUAGCCCCAUUUCUUACAAAAUUUACUGCCCAGAAAACUGUAAAAAAACUCUAUUAAAAUCUUUUUAAAGCUAUAAGGUGGACAGGUUAUAGGCCAUACUGUUUGACAAGAUCAGGGCCAUGGUCAAUUCGAACAACAAGGAUAUGGAGGCACUCACAAUAUAAUGUUUUUUGUUUUUAAUAGUUAAUCCAUUUUUAUUAUGUUCCCGAUUUGUUUUCAGGUUCACAAAUUGAAAAUGGCGGGGUUGCAUCCAAUGCUUCUCUUUGGGAGGGAGAAGAAGGGCUCUGUGUCCUGUGACUCAAUCAGUGGCCUGGAGCUAGUUUCAGACAGUCCUUGAAAAUCAUAGAAGGACUGUAUGGAAGCCUUGUGACAGUGAUUGUUAAAAGAGAGAGGGCCAACCCAUUAACUCCAGUGGACCCAGAGGGACCGAGGGAACUGGCUGAAUCCCCUCUUCAUCCAGAAGCAACGGAGGAGGAGGGAGAGGAAGGGGAGGAAGGGGAGGAGGAAGAGACAUUCGACCUCUUGUUGACACCUUGUGACCCUGCACCUACAGCUCCUGCCACAGCCCCAUCCACCUCGCAUUCACCUCCUGGACCAAGUUCCCCACCCUCAUCUCCCCCGCUCUCCAACUCAAAAGAGAGCUGUCCACCAAAACAUCCCGAGUCUUGUUGAAGUCGAUGUUUGAAGAGAGGAGACGCGGACCCAGUACUUACAAGUAUAAUGUUUAUUACACAAGAGUAUUACAGGUCAGGACGAGUUUCUAGAAAACUCGGAGAUAACACACAGGCCGAAUAGUGAAAAUCCGCCUUGACUCUGCAAGGUAAGGUGUUUUAUAGGGGAGUUGUUUACCACAAACCUAGAGAUUUAAUGACGUCACACAACCGGGCCUUCUGUCUAAAUUUGGGAAUGUGUCAUACCUUAAGAUAAGAUGGACCAAGAUCCCCAACCUCAUCUCCCCGCUCUCCAAAUGCAAAGAGAGCUGUCCAGCAAAACAUCCACGUAAGACCCUGCAAAUAAGUAUUGGGGGCCAGAAAAAAUUGCUACAUUUUCAGUUUUCAACAACAGAUCCCAUUGGUUUUGAUGAGAAGAAUUUGAACUUAAACUUAAAGGAGCAUAGACUUUGAAAGUAUGAUAUUUCACGUGCCAAAUGGAUACAGAAUCUACUUCCCUAUUUCUGUGCCUGGCAGAUAAAUUUAGGUAUUAAUAAGUUAAACCUUGAAAAGAUUUCCAGAAACAUUCUUUUAUGUGUUGGAUCUCAAACAUUUUCUUCCACUAACUCCCUAGGGACCCGCAAAGGUGGAAAAAAAGUCCACCCAAAAAACUGCAAUUACCACGACUCAAUGGGAAGUUACCCAUAUUCUAAAAUCUGCACGGAAAGAGUUCGAGAUGGGGUAAAGGAGGUGAAUGUGAGGUGGCUGCCAUGCCCCAUAUGCAAUUUGAGGUGGAAAGAUUCCUGGGUCCCUAAAACAGAGCUGGAAUAAUCCGGACAGAGGAGGAUGCAGCUUAUAUUUCUGCUUGUUUGACGUGUAAUUUGUUAUUUUAGAUGUUAUUGUAUAUUGUGUUAAUGUUACAUUUACUGUUUCUUGUUCUAUUUUACUG